CGGCAGGCUUACACAUGCAAGUCGAGCGGGCGUAGCAAUACGUCAGCGGCAGACGGGUGAGUAACGCGUGGGAACGUACCUCUUGGUUCGGAACAACACAGGGAAACUUGUGCUAAUACCGGAUAAGCCCUUACGGGGAAAGAUUUAUCGCCGAAAGAUCGGCCCGCGUCUGAUUAGCUAGUUGGUGAGGUAACGGCUCACCAAGGCGACGAUCAGUAGCUGGUCUGAGAGGAUGAUCAGCCACAUUGGGACUGAGACACGGCCCAAACUCCUACGGGAGGCAGCAGUGGGGAAUAUUGGACAAUGGGCGCAAGCCUGAUCCAGCCAUGCCGCGUGAGUGAUGAAGGCCCUAGGGUUGUAAAGCUCUUUUGUGCGGGAAGAUAAUGACGGUACCGCAAGAAUAAGCCCCGGCUAACUUCGUGCCAGCAGCCGCGGUAAUACGAAGGGGGCUAGCGUUGCUCGGAAUCACUGGGCGUAAAGGGUGCGUAAGCGGGUCUUUAAGUCAGGGGUGAAAUCCUGCAGCUCAACUCCAGAACUGCCUUUGAUACUG
rnacentral:rRNA from 1 species